AUCCCAUGGUGCUGACACUUUCACAGCAUAUUCUUGAACCGAUUCCAGGCUUCAUCAAAAAUUUUCGAGUCUUCUUGGCGAAAAAUAGAGAUGUCGUGUUUAAGCUU
rnacentral:snoRNA from 1 species